rnacentral:rRNA from 1 species
GAUGAACGCUGGCGGCGUGCCUAAUACAUGCAAGUCGAGCGAAUGGAUUAAGAGCUUGCUCUUAUGAAGUUAGCGGCGGACGGGUGAGUAACACGUGGGUAACCUGCCCAUAAGACUGGGAUAACUCCGGGAAACCGGGGCUAAUACCGGAUAACAUUUUGAACCGCAUGGUUCGAAAUUGAAAGGCGGCUUCGGCUGUCACUGAUGGAUGGACCCGCGUCGCAUUAGCUAGUUGGUGAGGUAACGGGUCACCAAGGCAACCAUCGGAGGCGUAGCUGGGAGGGUGAUCGGCCACACUGGGACUGAGACACGGCCCAGACUCCUACGGGAGGAAGCAGUAGGGAAUCUUCCGCAAUGGACGAAAGUCUGACGGAGCAACGCCGCGUGAGUGAUGAAGGCUUUCGGGUCGUAAAACUCUGUUGUUAGGGAAGAACAAGUGCUAGUUGAAUAAGCUGGCACCUUGACGGUACCUAACCAGAAAGCCACGGCUAACUACGUGCCAGCAGCCGCCGUAA